rnacentral:rRNA from 1 species
GGGUGCAAUCGUAGCAGCACUAAUGCACCGGAUCCCAUCGAAACUUUGCAGCUAAGCUUGCUUGGACAAUGUGUAGUAGUUUUAUGCAUACCAGCUCGGUGAGUAAAUUUUUGGAAUGCAUCCA